CCUACGGGAGGCAGCAGUGAGGCAUAUUGGUCAAUGGCCGGAAGGCUGAACCAGCCAUGCCGCGUGAAGGUCAGUGCACUAUGGGCGUUAAACUUCUUUUGUGCGGGAGCAAUAAUGGUCACGUGUGGCCAGACGAGAGUACCGUACGAAUAAGCAUCGGCUAACUCCGUGCCAGCAGCCGCGGUAAUACGGGGGAUGCAAGCGUUAUCCGGAUUUAUUGGGGUUAAAGGGUGCGUAGGCUGGGAGGUAAGUCAGCGGUGAAAUGCCCCCGCUCAACGGGGUGAAGUGCCAUUGAUACUGCCUUGCUGGAAUGCGGAUGCCGUGGGAGGAAUGUGUGGUGUAGCGGUGAAAUGCAUAGAUAUCACACAGAACACCGAUUGCGAAGGCAUCUCACGAAUCCGCGAUUGACGCUGAUGCACGAAAGCGUGGGUAUCAAACAGGAUUAGAUACCCCUGUAGUC
rnacentral:rRNA from 1 species